UACGUAGGGCGCAAGCGUUAUCCGGAAUUAUUGGGCGUAAAGAGCUCGUAGGUGGUUUGUCGCGUUGUUCGUGAAAAACUCACAGCUUAACUGUGGGCGUGCGGGCGAUACGGGGCAGACUUGAGUACUGCAGGGGAGACUGGAAUUCCUGGUGUAGCGGUGGAAUGCGCAGAUAUCAGGAGGAACACCGGUGGCGAAGGCGGGUCUCUGGGCAGUAACUGACGCUGAGGAGCGAAAGCGUGGGGAGCGAACAGG
rnacentral:rRNA from 1 species